rnacentral:lncRNA from 1 species
GCAGACUCCUCUCCUCAGUCAGACAGGACUCACUGCUACGGUUCGCAGCCGUCCAGCACCCCAGCACAUCCACCGCCUUCUGCAUGACCGUUUUACAAUGAGCAGGAAGGGCGCGGUGCAUUCUUUGCACCUCUGAUGCUGUCAGUGACCUUGUCAAACAGGCACCAUUAUGCUCAUUUUGCAGAGGAGUAAACUACAGCUGACGCACGGAGCAUCAUCCAGAAUUGACCGGGGUUUAUUGCAGGACAAUGGCAUGGGAAAGCAGCAGAGAAGCCUGCCUCUGUAAUGAAAAAGCUAAGAUAGCUUGGCAGGCAGCAUGGCUGUGUUUCAGCUCUCGUCAGCCCCAAAUACGGUGUGCGUUGUUCCUGGCUGAAGUUUCCAUUAUACUCGAUGUGAAUGGACAGAAGCAUGAAGGGAAGAAGUGAAGUGACGUUGCUCAGUCGUGUCUGACUCUUUGUGACCCCAUAUGGAUUGUAGCCUACCAGGGUCCUCCGUCCAUGGAAGUUUCCAGGCAAGAAUACUGGAGUGGGUUGCCAUUUUCUUCUCCAGGGGAUCUUCCCAAUCCAGGGAUAGAAUCCGGGUCUCCCGAAUUGCAGGCAGAUGCUUUACUGUCUGAGCCACCAGGGAAGCCCCGAUAAGCAUUAAGGGAAGAAACAUAUAAAAGAGAAUAGCACACAGUCUCUAACAAUUUCCUACCCUAGUUAAGUACAGUGUGGACUCUCAGACCCAGAAGAGUCUGAUCUUUGUGGAAGGCUGUUCCUCACCACGACGUCCUUGGUUUAGGGUCACCCGAGAACGUGACACUCGAGUUUGAUGAGUCAGGAGAAGCUUG